GGGCUUAUACAUGCUAGUCCAGCGGGGGACGUACUUGCUACUGGACCUACGGCGGACGGGUGAUAAUGCUUAGAAUCUGCCUAUUAUGGGGGACAACAUCUCGAAAGGGAUGCUAAUACCGCAUACGUCCUACGGGAGAAAGCAGGGGAUCUUCGGACCUUGCGCUAAUAGAUGAGCCUAA
rnacentral:rRNA from 1 species